UUACGCCGUGUCUGUAUAUUCUCAAAUCUGCGAGCGUCGCACGCGAUUACUGAAGGCAUUUCAUAUUUAUACUCUGCCGAGUGUCAUGGGCGCACAGUCUGCUGUGGACUUGAGUCGUGUCAACAAUCAGUGCUUUGAACUCAGUUUCACUUUUUGUGCUACUAUAUAAAGAUGGCCAUGACCUGCAAAAUCGUUUUCGUUCUCGCAUGUUUAACGGUGCUUGUUAAAGCCCAAAGACCAUUUUACGCUGGACUUAGCGCGAUCGGAUAUCCAGAAGUGGAUUCCGUGGGGCUCUCAAACAGAUUUGGCGAAGAUGAACGCGCUCCUAUUGAAGCUAAAGGCGACAGGAAUUUGGUGAAUCGAUUGAACUCUUUGCCUAUUGAUAACAGACCUUUUUGGUUCAUAAACUGGGAGGCAUAUGAAAAUUUAAGGAAAAAUCCUCAGACGUACCCGCAAAGGCCGAACUCCUUCAUAAACAACAACUAAAGAAUUUAAAAACAAUGGAAUGAACGGAAGAUUUUGAAUUUGGAAACAAAAUUCAAAGUUUACUUAUUUAAUAGAUGCUGGCAGGAUGAUAAAUCAAAAUAAUAUUCGUGAUUUAAAAAUAAAGAAAAAACAUUAACUAAUGUUAAGUUUAUAUACGUCUGCCAGGAUACAUUUUUUAUAAUAUUUUAUGCAUUGAUGUGCAUCUCUUGUUUAUUUGUGAUUUUAUUGUUAUAUUAUGGUAAUGCGCUGCGUAUUAACAAGUCAAUUCGUAGUUUUAAGUGUACCUAUGACGCGGUGUCAUACUUUUAUAUUUUUUGUACUUAGUUUUUAUAAAUUUCUGUGCAUUUAUUUAUAAUUCUUUUUGUAUGAGUCAAUGUUCGUAUUUCAGUACAUUUAUACAUUAUUAUCAUUUUGUAUACUAUGCACCAAAAAUAAUAGAAGUAUUAAAUCAUUUUCGCGAUGCGGAAGGCGUUAAAAAUAUUUAAAUUUUUAUUUUUACUUAUAAAUUAAGUGAUUCUACUAUUAUUAUAAGACUGCAAAUUGUUUUCGGACCUAUUGUACAUAAAAAUAAAAUAUUUUUUUUUAUU